rnacentral:rRNA from 1 species
AACGAACGCUGGCGGCAGGCUUGACACAUGCAAGUCGAGCGCCCCGCAAGGGGAGCGGCAGACGGGUGAGUAACGCGUGGGAAUCUACCCAUCUCUACGGAAUAACGCAUGGAAACGUGUGCUAAUACCGUAUACGUCCUUCGGGAGAAAGAUUUAUCGGAGAUGGAUGAGCCCGCGUUGGAUUAGCUAGUUGGUGGGGUAAAGGCCUACCAAGGCGACGAUCCAUAGCUGGUCUGAGAGGAUGAUCAGCCACGCUGGGACUGAGACACGGCCCAGACUCCUACGGGAGGCAGCAGUGGGGAAUAUUGGACAAUGGGCGCAAGCCUGAUCCAGCCAUGCCGCGUGAGUGAUGAAGGCCCUAGGGUUGUAAAGCUCUUUCACCGGUGAAGAUAAUGACGGUAACCGGAGAAGAAGCCCCGGCUAACUUCGUGCCAGCAGCCGCCGUAAAAC